UGAGCAAUCUGCCCUUCUCUUCGGAAUAAGCGUGGGAAACCGCGUCUAAUGCCGAAUACGACCUCCUUUCGCAUGAUCGGAGGUGGAAAGCUCCGGCGGAGAAGGAUGAGCUCGCGGCCUAUCAGCUAGUUGGUGUGGGUAAUGGCCCACCAAGGCGACGACGGGUAGCCGGCCUGAGAGGGUGACCGGCCACACUGGGACUGAGACACGGCCCAGACCUCCGUACGGGGAGGNAGCG
rnacentral:rRNA from 1 species